AUUUUUAGUGUUUAAAUGAAAAUUUCAAAACCUUUAGCCAUUCCGAAUUAAAGUGUUAAAAUUUUUCACGAUGACGAUACUUUAAAAGACAUUUUAUUGGGAAAAUAAUCGAAUGCUAAAAUU
rnacentral:rRNA from 1 species